GCCGGGGUGGUGCAGCGGCAGCACGGGGGCCUGUGGAGCCCCAGACCCGGGUUCGAUUCCCGGCCCCGGCCCCA
rnacentral:tRNA from 1 species